rnacentral:rRNA from 1 species
CCUACGGGAGACAGCAGUGAGGAAUAUUGCACAAUGGGCGCGAGCCUGAUCCAGCGAAGCAGCGUGAAGGAUGAAUGUUUUAGGGGUUGUAACUUUCUUUAUCAAAGGAGUUAAGUGCGGUACGUGUGCAUAUUUCUAUGUCUUAUAUGAAUAAAGAUGGGCCAACUACGUGCAAGCAGCCGCGGUAAUACGGAGGAUCCGAGCGUUAUCCGGAUUUAUUGGGUUUAAAGGGAGCGUAGUUGGGUUGUUAAGUCAGUUGUGAAAGUUUGCGGCUCAACUGUAAGAUUGCAAUUGAUACUGGCAGUCUUGAGUGCAGUUGAGGUAGGCGGAAUUCGUAGUGUAGCGGUGAAAUGCGUAGAUAUCACGAAGAACACCGAUUGCGAAGGCAGCUUACUAAACUGCCACUGACAUUGAUGCUCGAAAGUGUGGGUAGCAAACAGGAUUAGAUACCCGAGUAGUC